UCAAAAUAGUGCCUUUACGUGUA
rnacentral:siRNA from 1 species